rnacentral:rRNA from 1 species
UACAGAGGGGGCAAGCGUUGUUCGGAAUUACUGGGCGUAAAGGGCGCGUAGGCGGCCCGCUAAGUCGAACGUGAAAUCCCCAGGCUUAACCUGGGAACUGCGUCCGAUACUGGUGGGCUUGAAUCCGGGAGAGGGAUGUGGAAUUCCAGGUGUAGCGGUGAAAUGCGUAGAUAUCUGGAGGAACACCGGUGGCGAAGGCGGCAUCCUGGACCGGUAUUGACGGACUGAGGCGGCGAAAAGC